rnacentral:rRNA from 1 species
AUUGAACGCUGGCGGCAUGCCUUACACAUGCAAGUCGAACGGCAGCACGGGUGCUUGCACCUGGUGGCGAGUGGCGAACGGGUGAGUAAUACAUCGGCACAUGUCCUGUAGUGGGGGAUAGCCCGGCGAAAGCCGGAUUAAUACCGCAUACGAUCUACGGCUGAAAGCGGGGGACCUUCGGGCCUCGCGCUAUCGGGUUGGCCGAUGGCUGAUUAGCUAGUUGGUGGGGUAAAGGCCUACCAAGGCGACGAUCAGUAGCUGGUCUGAGAGGACGACCAGCCACACUGGGACUGAGACACGGCCCAGACUCCUACGGGAGGCAGCAGUGGGGAAUUUUGGACAAUGGGCGAAAGCCUGAUCCAGCAAUGCCGCGUGUGUGAAGAAGGCCUUCGGGUUGUAAAGCACUUUUGUCCGGAAAGAAAAGCUUGGCCCUAAUACGGUCGGGGGAUGACGGUACCGGAAGAAUAAGCACCGGCUAACUACGUG